rnacentral:rRNA from 1 species
UUUAUGGAGAGUUUGAUCCUGGCUCAGGAUGAACGCUGGCGGCGUGCCUAAUACAUGCAAGUCGAGCGAACGGACGAGGAGCUUGCUCCUUUGAAGUUAGCGGCGGACGGGUGAGUAACACGUGGGUAACCUACCUAUAAGACUGGAAUAACUCCGGGAAACCGGGGCUAAUGCCGGAUAACAUGUUGAACCGCAUGGUUCAACAGUGAAAGACGGUCUUGCUGUCACUUAUAGAUGGACCCGCGCCGUAUUAGCUAGUUGGUGGGGUAACGGCCUACCAAGGCGACGAUACGUAGCCGACCUGAGAGGGUGAUCGGCCACACUGGAACUGAGACACGGUCCAGACUCCUACGGGAGGCAGCAGUAGGGAAUCUUCCGCAAUGGGCGAAAGCCUGACGGAGCAACGCCGCGUGAGUGAUGAAGGUCUUCGGAUCGUAAAGCUCUGUUGUUAGGGAAGAACAAAUGUGUAAGUAACUGUGCACGUCUUGACGGUACCUAACCAGAAAGCCACGGCUAACUACGUGCCAGCAGCCGCGGUAAUACGUAGGUGGCAAGCGUUAUCCGGAAUUAUUGGGCGUAAAGCGCGCGUAGGCGGUUUUUUAAGUCUGAUGUGAAAGCCCACGGCUCAACCGUGGAGGGUCAUUGGAAACUGGAAAACUUGAGUGCAGAAGAGGAAAGUGGAAUUCCAUGUGUAGCGGUGAAAUGCGCAGAGAUAUGGAGGAACACCAGUGGCGAAGGCGGCUUUCUGGUCUGCAACUGACGCUGAUGUGCGAAAGCGUGGGGAUCAAACAGGAUUAGAU